rnacentral:rRNA from 1 species
AUGGCGCCGGAGUUGAGCCUGGGCAUGAGGAGCGACGGCUACGUGCGGGUCCUUGACCUGCUCGGCCUCAACCUGCAGACCUUCGCCAAGGUUCCCCUCAAGUCCCACACGGUGGAUGAAAUCAGGGAGGCGAUCAGGCGAGACAACAAGCAAAGGUUCAGUCUGUUGGAGGAGGAUGGCGAGCUGCUGAUUCGAGUUAACCAGGGGCACACUGUGACCGUAUGUUUUCUGCCUGACCGUCCAUACCAUGGAGAAGCAGCGUCGGCCACUGGCGAGGGACGUGGCAAAUGA